UCAGGUGGCCGCAGAGAAUAGGCCCAAGCGACUGUUUACCAAAAACAUAGGUUUCUGCUAAGUCGCAAGACGAUGUAUAGGAGCUGACGCCUGCCCGGUGCUGGAAGGUUAAGGGGAUCUGUUAGAGCAAUCGAAGCAGUGAACUUAAGCCCCAGUAAACGGCGGCCGUAACUAUAACGGUCCUAAGGUAGCGAAAUUCCUUGUCGGGUAAGUUCCGACCCGCACGAAAGGCGUAACGAUUUGGGCACUGUCUCAACAACAGACUCGGUGAAAUUGUAAUUCCGGUGAAGAUGCCGGAUACCUGCGACAGGACGGAAAGACCCCAUGGAGCUUUACUGUAGCUUGACAUUGGGUCUUGGUACUACAUGUACAGGAUAGGUGGGAGGCUUUGAAACCAGGACGCCAGUUUUGGCGGAGCCAUCCUUGGGAUACCACCCUUGUAGUACUGGGACUCUAACCAUAGGCCAUGAAUCUGGUCUUGGGACACUGUCAGGUGGGCAGUUUGACUGGGGCGGUCGCCUCCCAAAAGGUAACGGAGGCGCUCAAAGGUUCUCUCAGUACGGUCGGAAAUCGUACGUAGAGUGUAAAGGCAAAAGAGAGCUUGAUUGCAAGACAUACAGGUCGAGCAAGGAUGAAAAUCGGACUUAGUGAUCCGGUGGUUCUGCGUGGAAGGGCCAUCGCUCAACGGAUAAAAGCUACCCUGGGGAUAACAGGCUUAUCUCCCCCAAGAGUCCACAUCGACGGGGA
rnacentral:rRNA from 1 species